rnacentral:lncRNA from 1 species
CUGCUGCAAAGGGCUGGGGGGCUUUUGAGAUAGGGAGGGGGGUCUGACCCUGGUGCCCUGAGCCUCUCGCAGCUUUGUCUGACCAGUGAUGGAGCAGGAGGUUUGCGUGCUGGGCAGCUGCCCAGCACAGGGAGCACCGUGGGACCCCACAUCGCCCACCUGGGGCUUCCAGAUUGAAAUAAAACAGUCUUUUCAUGCUGAAAGAGAACCAAUAUUUCAUGGAAAAUGGUUAUUUGUGAAAUUAUCAAGCAAACCAGCAGAAAACCCCUGGACAAGAUUACCCAAGCCUGCAACACUUCUGCGUGUGUUCGGAGUUAAUGCCGCAGAGCGCUCGCGGGAUCCAGACCCGCUGCCGGCGUUAGCACAGCCUGGGCCCCCUCGCACCCGAGCUCCUGCCAGCAGACACGUGGCCCUGAGUUCCUUUUCACUUUCUUACAUUGAUUUUUUUAUCACGGCACAUCUCUCACGGAGUUAAUCCUGACUUACACUGCUGUAAACAAGUUCGGAGGCUGGCAGAUUAUCAGCCCCAGCCUCUCGCAGCUGGAGCGCCAACAAGCUGCCUCCCCAGCGGAUCUUCCUGCAGCUGCGGGCGGUUUGAUGUGAACAGAGGGAGCACGGGAAGAUUCCAGAGCUCUUCUACAAGGAUGAAGUGCAGGUGACGUUGCAGCUCACAGACCCUGGGGACUUACAGGGCUUGGCUAUGGCCGUGCCCCCCGCUGCCCGCUCCUUUCCCACAAGGGCGCACACGUGGAGGCAGCCAGGAGCUGAUCCUUCGCCCGUUCCUUUCCCUGACUGCUGGUGUGGUGACAGCUCUCCUGCAGGCCACUGCUGCUUCCAGCCUCCCGCUGCUCUUCACGCACCACUGCAAGUCAGCACGGGGCUGCCAACUACUGCUGAAAGGCAAAAUUGGGGAACAAAGGGAUUGCGCAGAGCGGGCGUGGAGAUGGGGAAACUGAGGGCUUGCUGCGCUCAUCCCCGAGGAAGCCACAACCUUGGAAAAGGAGCAAGGAGAAGAGCAAGGGUGCUGCUGUGCACAGAAGGAUGAGGACGUGGGCAGGAGCCCAUGUGCCAAGGGUGGACAGCAGGAGCCACAGAGGAUUUCCCUGCACAUGCAGCAUCCCACCGAGAGGCGGGCACCCACAGAGGUGCUCCAAGCCCCAGUGCACCCAUGCUGAAGGUGCCUUCCCAGUUGCCAGUUCUUACUAGUAUUGUACUGAGAAUAAAGCCGCACGUCUCUCUGUAUCUAAUUGCA